rnacentral:rRNA from 1 species
CCUACGGGGGGCAGCAGUGGGGAAUAUUGCGCAAUGGGCGAAAGCCUGACGCAGCGACUCCGCGUGAGGGAUGAAGGUCUUCGGAUCGUAAACCUCUGGCAGCAGGGAAGAAAGGUCACUGUGCUAAGCAGCAGUGAAUUGACGGUACCUGCAAAGGAAGCACCGGCUAACUCCGUGCCAGCAGCCGCGGUAAUACGGAGGGUGCGAGCGUUAAUCGGAAUUACGGGGCGUAAAGCGCUCGUAGGCGGUAUGUCAAGUCAAGGGUGAACUCCCCGCGCUCAACGUGGGAACUGCCUUUGAACCUGGCAGACUGGAGUGUGUGAGAGGAUAGUGGAAUUCCAGGUGU